GAUGAACGCUGGCGGCGUGCCUAAUACAUGCAAGUCGAGCGAACAGAUGAGGAGCUUGCUCCUCUGACGUUAGCGGCGGACGGGUGAGUAACACGUGGAUAACCUACCUAUAAGACUGGGAUAACUUCGGGAAACCGGAUCUAAUACCGGAUAAUAUAUUGAACCGCAUGGUUCAAUAGUGAAAGACGGUUUUGCUGUCACUUAUAGAUGGUUCCGCGCCGCAUUAGCUAGUUGGUAAGGUAACGGCUUACCAAGGCAUCGAUGCGUAGCCGACCUGAGAGGGUGAUCGGCCACACUGGAACUGAGACACGGUCCAGACUCCUACGGGAGGCAGCAGUAGGGAAUCUUCCGCAAUGGGCGAAAGCUUGACGGAGCAACGCCGCGUGAGUGAUGAAGGUCUUCGGAUCGUAAAACUCUGUUAUUAGGGAAGAACAAAUGUGUAAGUAACUAUGCACGUCUUGACGGUACCUAAUCAGAAAGCCACGGCUAACUACGUG
rnacentral:rRNA from 1 species